UUUCCGUAGGUGAACCUGCGGAAGGAUCAUUGUAGGAUUGUUUUGGAGGGGGUGGUUGUGAUUUGUGGGGAUUGUGUGUGGUUGUUUGGAUUGCUUGAAUUGCCCGGCUAUCUGCAACUCGACUCGUCUCAUCACAACCACUCUUUACAUUGGCACAGACCAGUGGUCUGGUGUUUAGAGCACAGACUCGGUCUGGUUUUUGGAGCAACAGACCAGUGGUGUCUGAUGUUUGCGCUUGCUCGUUUGACAGAAACAGUACCAUAUCAUUGCAAAACUUUUAACAAUGGAUCUCUUGGCUCUU
rnacentral:misc_RNA from 1 species